UUGUCGCAAUGUUCUGCAGUUGUUUUUCCUCAGUGAUGAAACCUGACUCGGAUGGAAGAUUUCUAAAGAGUAUUUUAUUUCUUACUUACACACCAUGUCCAAGGUGCUGUGAUGGUUACAGCAAAGUUACUAUUACCACCUCAAACGCUGAUUUUUCCUAUAUUGUAUAUUAAUAACGAACGAUACAUCAUAGUUUUUAUCCGGUUACAGUUACGCUUAGUGCUGUAGAAGUCUCAUAUUAGAAAAUGUUUCCCUUUUGGUAAAAAUUUAGCAUACAUUACAGUAGUGAGUGGAAGCUGAAGUGUGUAAACAUUAUUAUAAUCCACAGUCUAGUGUUCCUUCCAUCCUCCACCCUCCUCCUCCUGAUUUAACACUGACCGCGUAUUGACCCCAUGCCAAAAAGUCUCCGAUAUUUAAAGAUCCACAUGCAAGCAUUGUGUGUUCACGGGUCAUUACACUAAGCUUGCUCUUAUUACUAAACCUUAUGUACUUUUUAAGCAGAUCGGAUUCCCGGAAACCAGGAAGAGCGAUGAGGAUUAAAGUGCGGUGAUGACAGCUUCUGGCACUAUGCAAACUCUACAGAUUAACACCUCAGUGUGAAAGAAAAACACACGGGAAUUUGCUUUACAUGAGUGAGGUAAAAAAUCCUGGAUUCAUGUCUAUCUCUCUGGAGAAAGUGGAGGACAAGCAACAUGUACAUGCAGGAAAAUAAUCCACAGCAAGAUGGUGUGAUAUGGCCUGACACAAAGAUGACACCUGAUGGGAGUUGAAUUGUUCAGGAAGAAAAGAAAACGUGAGCCACUUGGAGAAGAACAAUAGAGGAUGGUGAGAGGUGCAGAUGGGUUCAUUAUGUUACAGAAUGACACGAUGGCUUAAUGAUGACAAUGAGUGCUGCUUCAGAGCCUGGGCAAGGACACACACACACACACACACACAUAGAGACACUACAUGAGGCUGACUAUCUACAAGACACAUCAAAAUAAAAUACUAAACACU